GAUGAACGCUGGCGGCGUGCCUAAUACAUGCAAGUCGAGCGAACAGAUGAGGAGCUUGCUCCUCUGACGUUAGCGGCGGACGGGUGAGUAACACGUGGAUAACCUACCUAUAAGACUGGGAUAACUUCGGGAAACCGGAGCUAAUACCGGAUAAUAUAUUGAACCGCAUGGUUCAAUAGUGAAAGACGGUUUUGCUGUCACUUAUAGAUGGAUCCGCGCCGCAUUAGCUAGUUGGUAAGGUAACGGCUUACCAAGGCAACGAUGCGUAGCCGACCUGAGAGGGUGAUCGGCCACACUGGAACUGAGACACGGUCCAGACUCCUACGGGAGGCAGCAGUAGGGAAUCUUCCGCAAUGGGCGAAAGCCUGACGGAGCAACGCCGCGUGAGUGAUGAAGGUCUUCGGAUCGUAAAACUCUGUUAUUAGGGAAGAACAAAUUUGUAAGUAACUAUGCACGUCUUGACGGUACCUAAUCAGAAAGCCACGGCUAACUACGUG
rnacentral:rRNA from 1 species